UACGAAGGGUGCAAACGUUAUUCGGAAUCACUGGGCGUAAAGGGUGCGUAGACGGCAUGUUAAGUUCGUUGUUAAAGGCUCCGGCCUAACCGGAGUACCGCGAUGAAAACUGGCGUACUAGAGGGUGAGAGAGAGAAGUGGAAUUCCUGGAGUAGCGGUAAAAUGCGUGGAUCUCAGGAGGAACACCAAUGGCGGAGGCAGCUUCUUGGCUCAUUCCUGACGUUGAGGCACGAAAGCGUGGGGAGCAAACAGG
rnacentral:rRNA from 1 species